CCUACGGGCGGCAGCAGUGAGGAAUAUUGGUCAAUGGGCGCGAGCCUGAACCAGCCAAGUCGCGUGAGGGAAGACGGUCCUAUGGAUUGUAAACCUCUUUUGUCGGGGAGCAAAAGACGCCACGUGUGGCGUUCCGAGAGUACCCGAAGAAAAAGCAUCGGCUAACUCCGUGCCAGCAGCCGCGGUAAUACGGAGGAUGCGAGGGUUAUCCGGAUUUAUUGGGUUUAAAGGGUGCGCAGGCGGAAGAUCAAGGCAGCGAUAAAAUUGAGGGGCUCAACCUCUUCGAGCCGUUGAAACUGGUUUGCUUGAGUGAGCGAGAAGUAUGCGGAAUGCGUGGUGUAGCGGUGAAAUGCAUAGAUAUCACGCAGAACUCCGAUUGCGAAGGCAGCAUACCGGCGCUCAACUGACGCUCAUGCACGAAAGUGUGGGUAUCGAACAGGAUUAGAUACCCCUGUAGUC
rnacentral:rRNA from 1 species